GACGAACGCUGGCGGCGUGCUUAACACAUGCAAGUCGAACGAAAAGAGGGAAAGAGCUUGCUCUUUCCGGAAUUGAGUGGCAAACGGGUGAGUAACACGUAAACAACCUGCCUUCAGGAUGGGGACAACAGACGGAAACGACUGCUAAUACCGAAUAAGUUCCAAGGGCCGCAUGGCACAUGGAAGCAAAGGUGGCCUCUACCUGUAAGCUAUCGCCUGAAGAGGGGUUUGCGUCUGAUUAGCUGGUUGGCGGGGUAACGGCCCACCAAGGCGACGAUCAGUAGCCGGUCUGAGAGGAUGAACGGCCACACUGGAAUUGAGACACGGUCCAGACUCCUACGGGAGGCAGCAGUGGGGAAUCUUCCGCAAUAGGCGAAAGCCUGACGGAGCAACGCCGCGUGAGUGAUGACGGCCUUCGGGUUGUAAAACUCUGUGAUCCGGGACGAAAAGGCAGAGUGCGAAGAACAAACUGCAUUGACGGUACCGGAAAAGCAAGCCACGGCUAACUACGUG
rnacentral:rRNA from 1 species